rnacentral:rRNA from 1 species
UGGGGGAUAUUGCACAAUGGGCGAAAGCCUGAUGCAGCGACGCCGCGUGGGGGAUGAAGGCCUUCGGGUUGUAAACUUCUUUUGCUCUGAACAAGGCGCACCAUGGGGUGUGUUGAGUGUAGGGGGUGAUUAGCGCCGGCUAACUACGUGCCAGCAGCCGCGGUAAUACGUAGGGCGCGAGCGUGGUCCGGAAUUAUUGGGCGGAAAGGGCUUGUAGGUGGUUGGUUGCGUCGGUCGUGAAAGCUCAUGGCUUAACUGUGGGUGUGCGGUUGGUACGGGCUGGCUUGAGUGCAGUAGGGGAGGCUGGAAUUCCUGGUGUAGCGGUGGAAUGCGAAGAUAUCAGGAGGAAUACCAGUGGCGAAGGCGGGUCUCUGGGCUGUUACUGACACUGAGGAGCGGAAGCAUGGGGAGCGAACAGG